GGUUAAGCGACUAAGCGUACACGGUGGAUGCCCUGGCAGUCAGAGGCGAUGAAGGACGUGCUAAUCUGCGAUAAGCGUCGGUAAGGUGAUAUGAACCGUUAUAACCGGCGAUUUCCGAAUGGGGAAACCCAGUGUGUUUCGACACACUAUCAUUAACUGAAUCCAUAGGUUAAUGAGGCGAACCGGGGGAACUGAAACAUCUAAGUACCCCGAGGAAAAGAAAUCAACCGAGAUUCCCCCAGUAGCGGCGAGCGAACGGGGAGCAGCCCAGAGCCUGAAUCAGUGUGUGUGUUAGUGGAAGCGUCUGGAAAGGCGCGCGAUACAGGGUGACAGCCCCGUACACAAAAAUGCACAUACUGUGAGCUCGAUGAGUAGGGCGGGACACGUGGUAUCCUGUCUGAAUAUGGGGGGACCAUCCUCCAAGGCUAAAUACUCCUGACUGACCGAUAGUGAACCAGUACCGUGAGGGAAAGGCGAAAAGAACCCCGGCGAGGGGAGUGAAAAAGAACCUGAAACCGUGUACGUACAAGCAGUGGGAGCACGCUUCGGCGUGUGACUGCGUACCUUUUGUAUAAUGGGUCAGCGACUUAUAUUCUGUAGCAAGGUUAACCGAAUAGGGGAGCCGAAGGGAAACCGAGUCUUAACUGGGCGUUAAGUUGCAGGGUAUAGACCCGAAACCCGGUGAUCUAGCCAUGGGCAGGUUGAAGGUUGGGUAACACUAACUGGAGGACCGAACCGACUAAUGUUGAAAAAUUAGCGGAUGACUUGUGGCUGGGGGUGAAAGGCCAAUCAAACCGGGAGAUAGCUGGUUCUCCCCGAAAGCUAUUUAGGUAGCGCCUCGUGAAUUCAUCUCCGGGGGUAGAGCACUGUUUCGGCAAGGGGGUCAUCCCGACUUACCAACCCGAUGCAAACUGCGAAUACCGGAGAAUGUUAUCACGGGAGACACACGGCGGGUGCUAACGUCCGUCGUGAAGAGGGAAACAACCCAGACCGCCAGCUAAGGUCCCAAAGUCAUGGUUAAGUGGGAAACGAUGUGGGAAGGCCCAGACAGCCAGGAUGUUGGCUUAGAAGCAGCCAUCAUUUAAAGAAAGCGUAAUAGCUCACUGGUCGAGUCGGCCUGCGCGGAAGAUGUAACGGGGCUAAACCAUGCACCGAAGCUGCGGCAGCGACACUAUGUGUUGUUGGGUAGGGGAGCGUUCUGUAAGCCUGUGAAGGUGUGCUGUGAGGCAUGCUGGAGGUAUCAGAAGUGCGAAUGCUGACAUAAGUAACGAUAAAGCGGGUGAAAAGCCCGCUCGCCGGAAGACCAAGGGUUCCUGUCCAACGUUAAUCGGGGCAGGGUGAGUCGACCCCUAAGGCGAGGCCGAAAGGCGUAGUCGAUGGGAAACAGGUUAAUAUUCCUGUACUUGGUGUUACUGCGAAGGGGGGACGGAGAAGGCUAUGUUGGCCGGGCGACGGUUGUCCCGGUUUAAGCGUGUAGGCUGGUUUUCCAGGCAAAUCCGGAAAAUCAAGGCUGAGGCGUGAUGACGAGGCACUACGGUGCUGAAGCAACAAAUGCCCUGCUUCCAGGAAAAGCCUCUAAGCAUCAGGUAACAUUAAAUCGUACCCCAAACCGACACAGGUGGUCAGGUAGAGAAUACCAAGGCGCUUGAGAGAACUCGGGUGAAGGAACUAGGCAAAAUGGUGCCGUAACUUCGGGAGAAGGCACGCUGAUAUGUAGGUGAAGUCCCUCGCGGAUGGAGCUGAAAUCAGUCGAAGAUACCAGCUGGCUGCAACUGUUUAUUAAAAACACAGCACUGUGCAAACACGAAAGUGGACGUAUACGGUGUGACGCCUGCCCGGUGCCGGAAGGUUAAUUGAUGGGGUUAGCGGUAACGCGAAGCUCUUGAUCGAAGCCCCGGUAAACGGCGGCCGUAACUAUAACGGUCCUAAGGUAGCGAAAUUCCUUGUCGGGUAAGUUCCGACCUGCACGAAUGGCGUAAUGAUGGCCAGGCUGUCUCCACCCGAGACUCAGUGAAAUUGAACUCGCUGUGAAGAUGCAGUGUACCCGCGGCAAGACGGAAAGACCCCGUGAACCUUUACUAUAGCUUGACACUGAACAUUGAGCCUUGAUGUGUAGGAUAGGUGGGAGGCUUUGAAGUGUGGACGCCAGUCUGCAUGGAGCCGACCUUGAAAUACCACCCUUUAAUGUUUGAUGUUCUAACGUUGACCCGUGAUCCGGGUUGCGGACAGUGUCUGGUGGGUAGUUUGACUGGGGCGGUCUCCUCCUAAAGAGUAACGGAGGAGCACGAAGGUUGGCUAAUCCUGGUCGGACAUCAGGAGGUUAGUGCAAUGGCAUAAGCCAGCUUGACUGCGAGCGUGACGGCGCGAGCAGGUGCGAAAGCAGGUCAUAGUGAUCCGGUGGUUCUGAAUGGAAGGGCCAUCGCUCAACGGAUAAAAGGUACUCC
rnacentral:rRNA from 1 species